AGAGUUUGAUCAUGGCUCAGGAUUAACGCUAGCGGCAGGCCUAAUACAUGCAAGUCGAACGGUAACAGGGGUAGCAAUACCCGCUGACGAGUGGCGCACGGGUGCGUAACACGUAUGCAACCUACCUAUAACUGGGGAAUAGCCUUCCGAAAGGAAGAUUAACACCGCAUAACAUCAUUCUACGGCAUCGCAGAAUGAUCAAACCUCCGGGGGUUAUAGAUGGGCAUGCGUAACAUUAGCUAGUUGGUGAGGUAACGGCUCACCAAGGCUACGAUGUUUAGGGGGUCUGAGAGGAUGAUCCCCCACACUGGUACUGAGACACGGACCAGACUCCUACGGGAGGCAGCAGUAAGGAAUAUUGGACAAUGGGGGCAACCCUGAUCCAGCCAUGCCGCGUGAAGGAUGACGGCCCUCUGGGUUGUAAACUUCUUUUGUACGGGAAUAAACCCCUCUACGUGUAGAGGGUUGAAUGUACCGUAAGAAUAAGGAUCGGCUAACUUCGUGCCAGCAGCCGCGGUAAUACGAAGGAUCCAAGCGUUAUCCGGAUUUAUUGGGUUUAAAGGGUGCGUAGGCGGGCUAUUAAGUCAGUGGUGAAAGCCCCAAGCUUAACUUGGGAAUUGCCAUUGAUACUGAUGGUCUUGAGUACACUUGAAGUGGGCGGAAUGUGUCAUGUAGCGGUGAAAUGCUUAGAUAUGACACAGAACACCGAUUGCGAAGGCAGCUCACUAAAUUGUAACUGACGCUGAGGCACGAAAGCGUGGGGAUCAAACAGGAUUAGAUACCCUAGUAGUCC
rnacentral:rRNA from 1 species